rnacentral:rRNA from 1 species
UACGUAGGUGGCGAGCGUUAUCCGGAUUUACUGGGUGUAAAGGGUGUGUAGGCGGGAUUGCAAGUCAGAUGUGAAAAUUAUGGGCUCAACUCAUAACCUGCAUUUGAAACUGUGAUUCUUGAGGGUCGGAGAGGUAACCGGAAUUCCUGGUGUAGCGGUGAAAUGCGUAGAUAUCAGGAGGAACACCGGUGGCGAAGGCGGGUUACUGGACGAUUACUGACGCUGAGACACGAAAGCGUGGGGAG